GCAUCAAACCAUAGGUAAAGAUUGAUCAUGAUUAAUUGAUUAAUUAUCACAGUUAGAUUCACUUCUACAAGUAUAAAUCUCGAUGAUCAAGAUCUUAUUUUAGGGUAAUCAAAAGAGUAAAUUAAACGUACGUGGUCAUCCCAACCGCGGUCCUUGUUGUAGAUGAUUGCAGCUCCAAGACUCCUCGCUGGGUUGAUGCCAGUUCCGGUAAUUGGGAUGGUAGCCAAGUGAACCAAAAACACAGCGAACCCAAUUGGCAGAGGAGCCAAAAUCUAACCAUGCUCAAUAAGAUAGUGAUUAGUAAAAAUAAUCAAUUAUAGGUUAUUAAUUAUAGAAUUUAUUAGAAACGGAGUUAACUUACAGGAACAUGAGAGUCCCUGGCGCUCCGUUUGGCAUCAGUGGCAGAGAAAACUGUGUAGACAAGAACAAAAGUACCAAUAAUCUCGGCACCAAGACCAUCACCCUUGGUGUAGCCAUGAGCUACGACGUUGGCACCGCCGGCGAGCCGCCCGUAUUGGCCGGCACCCAUGAAACCCUUAACAACGCCAGCACCGCAGAUGGCUCCCAGACACUGCAUCACCAUGUAGAAAAGUGCACGUGUCAGCGACAGCUUCCUCGCCAAGAACAGGCCGAGUGUCACCGCCGGGUUGAUAUGACCACCUGCGUCAAAACAAACAGUUUUAAAAACACUUUAGAUAUUUUGCUUAUAAAAUUAACCAAGCAGAGGCGCAACCGGUACGAACCCGAGAUGCCAGCUGUGCAGUAAACGAGCACGAAGAUCAUGCCACCGAAGGCCCAUGCAAUCCCUUGAAUGCCGACGGUUGAGCACUUGGUGUUGGACUUGACGACGCCCAUCACUGUCAGUACGGAGAUGUACAAGAAAAGAAAAGUGGCUAUGAACUCGGCUAUACCGGCCCUGUAAAACGACCAAGACUUGAGCUCGCCGGGCUCGAAGAGCGGCGCCGGUGGGGGUUCAACGUAGUCCUUGCCAUCUUGGGUCUGAGCCGCCGUCCCAAUCGGCUGCCUCUCGGCGAACUUGUUGGCUCCCAGUCUAACAUCCUCUUCUUUGCCUUCCAUUUCUGCUACUCCCUCAAAAACACAAAAUAGUCAAUAAGAAGCACUUGCUUUUUUGUUUGUGGCCGUUUGAUGUUGUGAUGAGAAUGAGUGACAGAGUACUAGAAGUUGGGGAAAGGGGUUAUAUCAUCCGGAUCAGGGAGUGAUGAGUGCAGGUGGUGGGCUCCAAUUUGGUGUAUAAAAUUGAAUUUACUUACUUAUCUUGUGACCGACCAAUCAUUUUCUUGGAAUUUUGUGGAAAUAACUUAAAUGCGCUUAGACUAUUUAGAAAGAAAAAUGACAUUACGUUGGGGUAUCCUAGCUGGCUCAAUUUCAUCCACAUCUGUAAUGAUGUUGUGGCCACCGUCCAUCAAGGGUCAAGCAGACCGAGUGGGUGGGAAUUGGGACAUGAUGAUCACGGGAUUUAUCACGUAAUUUCAUAGCUCUUUUUAGGGCAAAUUACAGAACCCAAAGCAAGUAGGUUAUUUAAUUUUGAGUAAUGAUAUAAUCAUAAAUUUUUAUAUAAAUUUAUUUUAUAUAAAUUGAUGUGGUAUUAAUUUAUUAAUUGAAUAAAAAUAUAAAAUAAUAAAAAUAAAUCAUAUAGGUCAAGUAAUAUUUAAUUCAACCAAUCUUAUCAUACCACAUUAAUUUAUAUAAAAUAAAUUUAUACAAAAAAUUUUACCUAUAUCAUUACUCUUUAAUUUUAAUUUCGUUUUAUACUCUUAAAGUCUUUCUCAUUAUCAAUCAGCUUUAUUGUCAGUUUCUUAAUGUGAAUUAUGUCGGUUGCUCUGGCCUAUUGUCCUUUCCGUGUGUCCAUUUCGCUCUAAGGAAUUGGUUCACAGGCACGACUGUAACUUUCGAAUUGAUGCCUCCAUGAAUUAGUCCGUUCCUAUUUGAAUGGCUUUAUUUAUUUUAACCGUCGUAGUUUCAAAAUAUUUAUUUAGAAGUAAAAGGCUCGGUUUAGGGUAGGCAAAACCCCGGGUUGGGUUUGGGUAUCACAAUACUCAGACCUAGUCUGGAUGCAAUUUUUAGAUGUUCGGAUCGAGUUUUAAUCCGAAUACUUAAAUUUUAUAUUUUUUAAUAUUAUAUGUGUAUAUUUUUUAGUAAUUUUAUAAGUUUUAAAUUUAUUUCGAUAAAAUUUGACAUAAAAUUAUAAACUUUAAAUGUUUAAAACUUUAUAUAUGUGUAAUAAAUGAGUCAAAUAAAUUUAAAUAUUUAAAAUAAUAUAUAUUUUAUAAUUUUUUAAAAUAAAAUUCAGGUUCCGAGCCGAGCUCCGGAUUUAUCAAGUGAUACCCAAGAUUGAUCCGGCUUCAUACUCAUGCUGGGUAAUACCAUGCCCACAACGCUUGGGUGCGAUUCGGGUCUAGACCGGGCUGGUAUUUUUGCCACCCCUAGCUUGGUUGGAAUUGAAAUUAGACAAUUAUAGUUUCAAAGUAUAAUACUAAAAUAUUUUUUAUAUAUUAAUUAUUGUAACUUAGAAGUUAAGUUAAUUUGAGUUUACACUUAUAUGAUGAAAAAAUCUAUUAUAUUUUUAUUAAUUUUAUCAAAAUUAUUGUUUAAAAUUUGUGUUUACUAUGUACUAUUAAUUUUUAUUUCAUAUUUACUAUAUAAUAUUAAUUUAUGAUAUUUAGAGCCAAUCUAACUGCACAGUCACAAAAUUGAUUAGAAAGCUCUAGUAGACCCUUUAUUCUAAAUAUUAGGGGACUAUAACAUUAUUAAAAAAUUACAGCCCUAGUUGAUCGAAGUUAUGAUAUAACAUCGAGAAGUCAUCAAUAAAGUUCUGUUUGGGAUUAAGGUGCUGUAAUUUUUAAGUUACAGCUGUUAUGGAAAAAACUGUAAUUAUGAAACAAAAAUUGAUAAUAUGUAGUAAAUAUAAAUUUUAAAUAAUAAUUUUGAUAAAAUUAUUAAAGAUAUAAUAGAUCUUCCAUCAUACAAUUGAAAAUUCAUAUCAACAUAACUUUCAAGUUACAGUAGUCAGUGUUUACCAAAUACUUUAGUGCUGUAGAUUUUAAGUUACAAUUACCCAAUUUCAAUCCCAAAUAGACCCUAAGACAUAUAGAUAAAUUUUUAACAAUCGAACUCAGAAAACUAUAAAAUGUACUUAAGUACAUUUUUUUUUUACAACUUGCAUAACUAGCUCUCCCCCGGAUAAUGUUUAGGAACAGAAUAAUGUGUUGCUUUGUAUUUAUAUUUUUAACGCAUGAACGUCUACAUUAGAAUUUAGAAACCUAUUUAUGUUAUAAAGAUAACAUCGUCGUAAUCGAUAAUUUUACUCUUCCUGAAAAUGCACUAGGUUAUAAAAAUAAAUUGAUACAACAAUUAACUUAAUUUUUGAGUAUUACUUACGAAAAGAAAAAGUUCAAGAGUUGGAAGCGACUUAAAAAUGAAUUUAGAUCAAUUACUACAGUGAAAAUAGUAUUCUUUUUUUUGGGUGGCGUUUAUGCACAUAAUUUGAAUUAUAAUUUUUCUAAUUAAUGUUAUUCCUACAUGGAUUAGAAUCCUCUCAUGAUAUGAGUUUUUCUAAUAUUUUAUACCACUUGUAGUUUGGUGCUAAUGUAUGAUUAUGAUUUAAUUAUUUUUACUUUUUUAUUUAUUAACCGUAAUAAAAUUUAUUUAUGAAAAUAUUAUAUUAAGGGAGGAUCAUAAUCCUUCCUGCAUGAGGCAGCUGUAGCGAAUGAUUAUCUCUUAAUAAGUGCAAAAUCAUAGAGAAAUUUUACGCUGGCAGGUAUCUAUAUAUCUAUAUAAAGUUGAGACUUGAGGAGGUGAUGUGGCAUCACCAUUUCUCUUCUUUGUAUAUUCUCUAUUAUCUAAUAAAUAGAGAAUUUUUCUUUUAAAUUUGGCUUUUUAUCUUCUCAUAAUUAAUUUGAUUGUUAUUAUACAAUAACAAUUAUAUAAAGAUUUUAAUGAGGCAUAUUCUUUGUAAUGAAUAUCAAAGAGGGAGUGUUAUGAAUUUAUUAAAAUUAAUGUAAAUGUUCAUAACAUAUAUCUCUUAGUCUCUCCACUAUCUCCCAUUAGCAACCUUUAGCUUCCCUAUAACUCCCAUUAUUUCACAAGAAAUUAUGAUCCAUAAUUUUUUAUUAAUUUCAUGGAGUGAUUAUGUAACUAUAAAAUGAGAGCUCAUCUUUUUGUUUUGUACACACACAAUUAGAAUGAAUAAAACCACUCUAUAAUAUAUUCUCUCAUUUUAUUAUUUAUCUUGCGUUGCUUCUUUAUUUGUAUUGCUAGCUAAUAACUUUUUUUUUAUUUUUUAUAAAGCUGCCUCAUCCUAAAAAAAAAAUCAAUUCAUAUUUUUUAUCAGUUUCACAAGUGUAAAGUAAGAAAAAAUGAUAAUACUAAAUUUUUUUUUCAAAGCCGCGUGAAACGCGAGGUUAUUUUCUAGUUUUUAUAUAUUACACAGGACGGUAGUUAAUGGCGAAUUCAUGGAAAUUAAUUAUGCCAAUCAUGUCAACUAACAUGUUUCUUAUAGCGUAUUAUUGUUGUAGUGAUUUGUCUGGAUAUUAUUGAAUAAUCUUCAUGAUAUUUGCAAUCAAUAGUUGGGUUUGUGCUUUAAUUAGCUUCGUCAUUUCUUUCUGGCAAAGAAAGGUUAAAUGCAUCUUAUUAAUUAUAUUUGUAAUCUAUUUGGAGGGUAUGUUUUAUGGACUUUAAUAUUUGAGCGAAUUUAAGCUCAAUAAUAUUCAAGCUGCAUGCCCCUAUAUAGAAAACGAUAUGAGUCACUUCACAUAAAUAUAUGAAACAACAUGAAAACUAUAGACAACAAAGAAAUGACUGUACCUUUUUUAUUGAAUAAAAAAAUGCUCCAUCAUAUGAGUUAAAAAAAAUUAAAAAUGCACUAAAAUGACAUUACUUUUUUAUUUCAGUAAAUUAUAAAAUUGAGAAAUUUAUAAAGUAGCCUAUCUAUGAAAUUGCCUCCAAACAGAGCAGGUUAUUAUUGACACUAUUUUUUAUGUUAAAUUUUACUCUCAUAAUUAUAAAACACUCAAAACCUCGACCUUUCAGAUAAUAAGAGUUGGCAUGAACCAAAUCAACUAAAGAGUUAUUAACAUACUUGAUACUAUAAAUCUACUAUAAAUCUAAUUUUCUACUCUCAUAAUUUCUAUUCUUUUCAUUCUUAUCCAUUUAAAGAAUGAAAUACUAUAGAUUAUUUUUUUAAUAGUAAAAAAAUUUAAUUAGUCAAUAGUAAAUUUUAUCCUAAAUUAUGUGGAUUUAUUCACUGAUUGGUAAGAUAAUUUAAUUAAUUCACUUAGAAUUUAUUAAAAAUCAUCAACCACUUAAUAAAUGAUACAUCACGUGUCAUAUAAUUUGGGAUAACAUUUUGGGAUGUCAUCAGAUAAAACUCUUGAAGUUUGGCUUCAUUAUUUGCAUAUAUAUUUUUUAUAUAAUAAACCAGUGAUUCUCUCGUAUAGUUGUACAAAUGUCUAUCCUUUAUUAAAAAAAAAAAGUUAAAAGCAAACAAUGUAUCAUUCUUUAGUUAUGCAAUGUUGUUUUUAACCAUACAGAGCAAAACAUCCGUGCAUGUUUAGCGAUGCACGAUUAAAAGUUGAUUAAUUUUUUUUCUUAUAUAAUAACUACUAAUUGUAUUUUAAAAAAAAUUAUUAAAAAAAUCAGCUUAGUACUGAAUCUAAAUUUACGUAUUAAAUCCCCCCAUAUUUAAAAUUUUCGUAUAAUCGACAAUGCUAAUUAAAUUAAAUCUAUUCCAUUUCCUUUGUAAGUCAUUUUCUUUUGGAUUGACCAUAAACUUCAAUAUUACAUCAUAGCAUCAUAACCAUUUUUUUUUAAUUUGAAAAUUUAUGUACAUAUAUACCAAUUCUCCAAACGACAUUCAUUUAUAACCAAAACGCAAAAAAAUACCAGCACGCAAACUUCAUACGAUAGCGAGCAUAUAUAUGGUGUUCCAUAAUACAUAAUGAUUAUGCUUCUAACAACGCCUCUUCAACUAAGGCAAAUUCUUUUUGGUUGGCUAGUAUUCAAAAAAUUUGAUAAGAUCCAUUAAUUAAUUAUAUAUUAUAUGUUUGUAAUAUACAGUUUUAUCCGCAUAUAUAUAUUUAGAGUGUGUGGAUCUACUAUUGUAGUAUUGUGUAUCAUUAUUGUACUGUUUAUUGUUUAAUGAAAUUACUUUGCUUUUUAAGAAAAAAUAAACUACGUAAAUUUAAAUAAAACCACUGCCUAUUACUUGUAUGAUUAUGUGUUCAGACUCCAGAUGCAUAAAAUAGGAAGCUUGGAAUUGCAGCCGCAGCUUUUCUUCUUUUUUUUUUAAAUUACAAAUGCUGGUACUACCGGUGCCAACUUUGGCCAGUAUCAGCGGCUUCUUUGUGCAUAGGCAUUACAGAAAAUUCAUACACAAGACCAAACAACCAGAAAAUUUAACGAACCGAAAAUGCAUGGACUUGGGAUAAUCGAAAAUAUAAAACAGAACCACCAACGACAGCCAUAAACAAAUGCAUCAGCAAUCACGACCGUUCAUAAGACCAUCAGCUUGAUUUGAAGGGAAUGGCUCUGAUCACAACCUGGUGGUACAAAGCUGCAAGUGCUGCUCCAAUGAAUGGUCCCACCCAGAAAAUCCACUGCAUCAAAACCAUAUAUAAGAUUGAUCAUGAUUAACUGAUUAAUUACCAUAAUUGAAUUUACGUCCACAAGAGUAAUCUUUAUGACCGAGAUCUUAUUUUAGGGUAAUCAAGAGAGUAAAUUAAACUUACAUGGUCAUCCCAACCGUGGUCCUUGUUGUAGAUGAUUGCAGCUCCAAGACUCCUUGCGGGGUUGAUGCCAGUUCCGGUAAUAGGGAUAGUAGCCAAGUGAACCAAGAACACAGCGAACCCAAUUGGCAAAGGAGCCAAAAUCUAACCAUAUUCAAUAAGGUAGUUAUUAUUAAAGGUAAUAAUUAUGAUUAUUAUUGGUAAUUAAUUAUACAUUAACCAGAAAAAGAAUUAACUUACAGGAACAUGAGAGUCUCUGGCGCUACGUUUGGCAUCAGUGGCAGAGAAAACUGUGUAGACAAGAACAAAAGUACCAAUAAUCUCAGC
rnacentral:lncRNA from 1 species